GGUUAAGCGAAUAAGCGUACACGGUGGAUGCCUAGGCAAUCAGAGGCGAUGAAGGACGUGCUAAUCUGCGAAAAGCGUCGGUAAGGUGAUAUGAACCGUUAUACCCGACGAUAUCCGAAUGGGGAAACCCAGUAUCCAAUGGAUACUAUCAUUAACUGAAUCCAUAGGUUAAUGAGGCGAACCGGGAGAACUGAAACAUCUCAGUACCCCGAGGAAAAGAAAUCAACCGAGAUUCCCCUAGUAGCGGCGAGCGAACGGGGAGCAGCCCAGAGUCUUAAUCAAUAGCAGUGUCAGGAGAACGGUCUGGAAAGUCCGGCAGUAAAGGGUGAUAGCCCCGUAUCUGAAGAUGCUGUUAUUGUGAACUCGACGAGUAGGGCGGGACACGUGUUAUCCUGUCUGAAUAUGGGGGGACCAUCCUCCAAGGCUAAAUACUCCUGAUUGACCGAUAGUGAACCAGUACCGUGAGGGAAAGGCGAAAAGAACCCCGGCGAGGGGAGUGAAAAAGAACCUGAAACCGUGUACGUACAAGCAGUAGGAGCCUCUUUAUGGGGUGACUGCGUACCUUUUGUAUAAUGGGUCAGCGACUUAUAUUCUGUAGCAAGGUUAACCGUAUAGGGGAGCCGUAGGGAAACCGAGUCUUAACUGGGCGAAUGAGUUGCAGGGUAUAGACCCGAAACCCGGUGAUCUAUCCAUGGGCAGGUUGAAGGUUGGGUAACACUAACUGGAGGACCGAACCGACUAAUGUUGAAAAAUUAGCGGAUGACUUGUGGAUGGGGGUGAAAGGCCAAUCAAACCGGGAGAUAGCUGGUUCUCCCCGAAAGCUAUUUAGGUAGCGCCUCGUGAA
rnacentral:rRNA from 1 species